rnacentral:rRNA from 1 species
GGGUGCGAUCAUACCAGCAAUAAUGCACCGGAUCCCAUCAGAACUCCGCAGUUAAACGUGCUUGGGCCAGAGUAGUACUAGGAUGGGUGAUCUCCUGGGAAGUCCUCGUGUUGCACCCC